CGUGAAGUACGUCUGGCGUCAAGCGCGCCCUCACGUGGACGGUUGGGGAAUUACGGGUUAAAAAUGCGAUUAAUUGCAAGUAAUUUAUUUUAAUCGAGUAAUCUCUUAUCGACAAUUAAUCGAUAAUCAAUGAAUUGUUUGCAUCCCUACAUGUGACCUUUGUGAUGAAAUUAUUUUUUCAUUCCCUUGCAAUCUCAUAACAUUCUGUUUACUGUUUGCUAUAAUUCAUAUGCAGGACAAUUUCAUGUGUGUUUCCAUUUAAAAAAGGAAUUCUGUCUGUAUCUAUCGUCUAUUUGUAUGUUUUCCGUCUGUGUGUCUGUCUGCCUCCCUGCCUACCUGUCUUGGUCUUUGCAGGCUCAUUGGCAGCAGUCAUAUUGGAGAACAUAAUGAUGAGGGCUGCCUUACUGAAAGAUGUUCGACAGCUGUCUCCACAGCACCAGACCUUCUCCCUUGAGGCUUACCACUCCCUCAUCUUGCACUUCGCGCCCAAGCACACAGGGUUUUCAUACCUUGGGAUGUAUAGCAGGCUUCUCUUAGCGGCGCUGCAUUAUAAUCACAAUGCCAAUAGCGAGACAGCACGGAGAAGUGACGGGUCGGAGAAGUAAUGCGUGCGGUAUCCGCGCUUCAGAAAAGGUGCCCAUGUGGUGCGUCGCAUCAAAGAGGCAGCCUCAUACGGUUAUGCAACAUCAUUAAUGAAGGCCCUUCGGGAGAGCUACGCCAGUUCACCCGCGGUUCUUCGAGAGGUUAGCGCCAAUUCGUCCUCCGAUGCACCCGCCCCCAUCGCCAAAUCCUUCCAACAGAUUCCUAAGGAGGAGGCCGUCAGCCUCUACCUAGCCCGGCAGUCACGCUACAAGAAAACCUAAUUUCACAUUAUUAUUUUUUUCCACGGACAAGUCCAAUAAUUUAGUUGUUAUUAUUUGCAUGAAAUUUCUUUGUAUGUAAUUCAAAAUAAUUUGGCAAUCAUUUUACCUGUGCCUUGUCAACCUCUGUGUGCGGUGUUGUCUGGGCUCACUGUGUGUCUGCUUGAUGUGCUUUUGCAUGUAUGAAUGCAUGAAAUAGUGUGUGUGUGUGUGUGUGAGAGAAAGAGAACCAUCAACUGACCCUCGGGUAUGACCACACUAUUGCAGAAUUAAUUAGAAUUAGAAUUAAACAUUGCGGGUCUAGCCCUUCAGGGUUCCUUGUAUGUUUUGUGCCUAACCAUUUUUUUAUAUAGAUUUAAUUCCAACCUGUUUCUUUGUUCAGUAACCAUUACAAGCGAUGCCAAUAAACUUUUUUUUUAUCCAAAA